AGCUUUAACCAUCAAUAGCUCAGUUGGUACAGCAUGAGACUCUUAAUCUCAGCGUCGUGGGUUUGAGCCCCAGCUUGGGCAA